rnacentral:rRNA from 1 species
UACGAAGGGGGCUAGCGUUGCUCGGAAUCACUGGGCGUAAAGCGCACGUAGGCGGAUUUGUAAGUCAGGGGUGAAAUCCCGGGGCUCAACCUCGGAACUGCCUUUGAUACUGGGGAUCUCGAGUCCGGGAGAGGUGAGUGGAACUGCGAGUGUAGAGGUGAAAUUCGUAGAUAUUCGCAAGAACACCAGUGGCGAAGGCGGCUCACUGGCCCGGAACUGACGCUGAGGUGCGAAAGCGUGGGGAGCAAACAGG